rnacentral:snRNA from 1 species
GCUACUUCACUCUACUGAUCAGCACAGUUGAUUUGGCUGAUCUGGCUGGCUAGAAGGGUGUCCCCUUCCUCCCUUACUGCUCAACGUGUGUCUGGAAUUGAAGAGGUGACCACUCCUGAUAGAGGAGGACUAUUUCCUCAGUCAAGGGUGUAUGAGUAGCUGUGCUCCCCUGCUAGAGUCUCCAAACAAGCUCUCAAAUCAGGGAGUCAACAGUAAAAGCUGUGUAAAUAUCCCCAAAUCUAAAAAUCUUCGAAAUCUGAACUUCUUCU